GUCAUGGAUACCGGUGUAAACUCAUGAAGGAAAGGAAGUUGCAGAGGUGCAACUGAGGGCAUGAUCUGAAGACACUAGGAUUGCAUGGGUGUAACUAGAUACCCAAUUUGACAGAAGACCUUGGACCUUGGAAGCAGAUCCUGGGCUGAGAAUUUGGUCAGCAAUGUUACUGGAACACAUGUGUGAGAGCUCAAAUCCACCAUCCUCAGCUCACAUGCCAUUUGUGGGUGGAAAUGUACAUGCAUCCAGAAGAGAGAGCCUGAAGUAGAAAACAGCAUUGGAGAAGCUCCAUUGGACCCCGAGCAGGAUCCAGGGAUUAAGUCUUAUUGGGCUAAGCACUGCACAAACAAAAUAUAUGUAGACCGUCCCUGCCCCCAAGAGCUCACAGACUAGGAUUUGGACUACACACAGCAGGUGAACAAGCAGGCUAAUGGAAUGAGUCGAAGGACCAUGGAAGAGCAGAGAUAUAUGCGAUUGCAUGAGUUAGUAAUCUUAUAUAGCACGAUGUGAUGACUGUUAGCAUCACUGUCAGCUGCCCUGGUGAAGGGUCUGGUUAACACCCCGGGACAUUCUUUUUAUUUAUUUAUUUUGUUUUAUUUUUCAGGAAUUUUGAGUAAUUUCAUUGUGUCCAUUUUAUACACCCAGUGGGUGAGGGAAGAGGGUGUUGGGUCCUGCCCCUUGUGGGGGGGGAGGCCCUGGAUGUAUGUGCAGAGCGAGCCUGUGCCAUACUCACCGCACAACAGAGGCUUCUGUCCCAUGGGGUUGGGCCCGGCUACUCGCUCUAGAAGUUUCAACCCGAUGCACAAGGUUGUAGCACUGCCCAGUGCCAGGUCACAACAUCUGGAGCAGGGAGCCAGGCCCAGCUUGGCAGGAAAGGAGCCACCACUAGGGGCUGAGUUUUUUUGUUUUAUGGCAUUUUAUAUGUUGUUUUUCUCUUUUAUUUCAUAUUUGUGAAAAACAUGGACCUCUACAUGUAGGAUAAGAACCUGACUAGAUAGGUGUAUCUAGUGGUUAGUUCAGGAGGACAGGACAGUUUCUAGGUUCGAUUUCCAACUCUUGUUGUGUGACCUUGGGCAAGUCACAUUCCUGUUACCAAUGGCUAAUAGCAAUACC